ACAAAUAAUUAAAACAUUCACAACAGCUUAGCCAACAACUUUUUUUGUUUCUUUCUACUUGCAAAACUAACUAACUUCUUCAGUGAAACCUCAGGUGCCCUUUUUUCAUGCACUGGAUCCCAUUCCUCUUUUUGUUUUUAUUUAUUAACAAUGGGAUACUGGAGGAAUGCUCAGGAAGUCUGUAGCUACUGAGAGAAGCAUUACUAGUUAUAUGAAGACACCACAUAGAGCCUAUGAACACACGGGGACUUCUAACCCUCCCACAGUAAUUACAGCUGUAAUGGAGAGAUGUAAUACGAUUCUCUUUCCAUAGAUUUUCAUUGCAAUACAAAGAAGACAACACUAAUUAUAAUUUCAGAUUAAAUGCUAUUCCAAACAACCCAAAUAUUUCUAUUGGCGAAACUACUUUCAAUCACUUGCACAAACAAGUGGUUACCCUUUACCAUGUACCGAGGUUGAUUGUUCAUGGCAGAGAGCAAAGCAUCAACUCCUGGCAUCUCAGGCUUAAUUUCAACAUUCUUCUCAAAGAUGAGGAGUGAAGGAUGAUAUGCAAAAGAGUCCUGUUUCAGUACUAAAUGAGCUUGGCAAGCAAAAGGCAGAUGAAGAUAAAACAUCCUGAAAAUGCACACAUGCUUCACCUCGAACCAAACCAAGAUUGUUGUAACAGUUUAUCACUCCUCUGUCUGAUGCUCAAGGUUGGCACAUGAAGUUACUGAAGCAGCUUCAGCAAGAAUUAUCAGGCACUCAGUGACAACAUCAGCAUAUGAUUUUUUUCCUCCUGUGGUAUUCCUUUCAGCAUUGUUUUCUUUUUAAUGAUCGGUUGGUUGUAAUCACUUCAGCUUUACUUCACUGCCUGCUGCACACAUUUUCUUCUUGCCAUCCUUGCUCUUCUUUUAUUUCUCUUCCUCAUCAGUUCUCCCUUUCAUCACUUCAGAGUAUGCUGUUAGCAAAUGCAACCCACAGAUUUAACAACAGUUUUAUGGCCCAUUGUAAAACUAGUCCACAUUUCAUUCCUUUUUCAUUAUUUGUGCUCUGACCAUGUGUAAAAGGGGAGACAAUCUUAGUGUCUCUCUGAUGCCACAUCCUGGAUGGAACCUCUGAGAACCAUUUUAAUACACAAUGAGGAUAAUUUAAGAUGUUGACUGGAUCUCAGCUAAAUAAAGUAACAGUAUUUUUCCUUUACCGAUCUCAUUGUUUUCUGUCCCAUAACUUCCCUUCACAUGAGGUCGUAAGAAAUGUUACUAUAUUCAGUACCAGUAUUUAAUUUUUGGUGAGACCUCUACCACAUCUGAAUUUACUUGACUUGUUUUUUUGCAGAAGUCAAGUAUUUUAUCAUAAGGAGGCCAUCAGUGGAAUUCUAAAUAUUCUUAUUUUGUUAUAUUAGUUUUCAAAAUCAAUUAUUUAUAAACAUAAAACAUAAAAAGAGGCAGCAGAGGAAGUAAAUUUCUCUUCUAGACUUGCAUUUAUUUUGCAGCACAACCUAUGAAGACUGGAACAAAAAUUACUUGUGCCACCUAUUGAAUGAUUUAUUUUUUUU